rnacentral:rRNA from 1 species
CAGUCGAAAGAUUGGCUAAUACCGCAUACGUCUGUGAAGGGAAAAGCGGGGGCUCGUAAGACCUCGCGCUAUUGGAUGAGCCAAAGUCGGAUUAGCUAGUUGGUGGGGUAAUGGCCUACCAAGGCGACAAUCCGUAGCUGGUCUGAGAGGACGACCAGCCACACCGGAACUGAGACACGGUCCGGACUCCUACGGGAGGCAGCAGUGGGGAAUAUUGGACAAUGGGGGAAACCCUGAUCCAGCGACGCCGCGUGUGUGAAGAAGGCCUGCGGGUUGUAAAGCACUUUUAGUGGGGACAAAAAGUCACGGGCUAAUACUCUGUGAUCUUGAUUUAACCUACAGAAAAAGCACCGGCUAACUCUGUGCCAGCAGCCGCGGUAAUACAGAGGGUGCGAGCGUUAAUCGGAAUUACUGGGCGUAAAGCGCGCGUAGACGGUUUUGUAAGUCAGAUGUGAAAUCCCUGGGCUCAACCUGGGAACUGCAUUUGAGACUGCAUGGCUAGAGUAUGGAAGAGGGAAGUGGAAUUUCCGGUGUAGCGGUGAAAUGCGUAGAUAUCGGAAGGAACACCAGUGGCGAAAGCGACUUCCUGGUCCAAUACUGACGUUCAUGUGCGAAAGCGUAGGGAGCAAACAGGAUUAGAUACCCUGGUAGUCCACGCCAUAAACGAUGACAACUAGAUGUUGGGAGGGUCUGCCUCUCGGUGUCGCAGCUAACGCGUUAAGUUGUCCGCCUGGGGAGUACGGCCGCAAGGUUGAAACUCAAAGGAAUUGACGG